UACGUAGGGUGCAAGCGUUGUCCGGAAUUAUUGGGCGUAAAGAGCUCGUAGGCGGUCUGUCGCGUCGGCUGUGAAAACCCGGAGCUCAACUCCGGGCCUGCAGUCGAUACGGGCAAACUGGAGUGUUGCAGGGGAGACUGGAAUUCCUGGUGUAGCGGUGAAAUGCGCAGAUAUCAGGAGGAACACCAGUGGCGAAGGCGACUUUCUGGCCUGUUCUUGACGCUGAGGCGCGAAAGCUAGGGGAGCAAACGGG
rnacentral:rRNA from 1 species